rnacentral:lncRNA from 1 species
CUCAUUCAUUCCAAAGACAAGAUAUUAUUUCCUCUUCUUUGCAAAGGUAUUUUUACUUGAAGACUGUCAUGUUUCAUAUCAGUCUUUUCCUCUUUAGGCCUAAGAACUUCAGCUUUUACAUUUAUUUUUCAAGAUUUUAAAGGAAGGAAGUAAUUAAAGCAGGAAAAUAAAAUGGAACAUAAAUUUUUGCAACAGUAGAUCGUGCUGAUGUGAUAUCUUUGACAAAAGAAAUUAUCUAAAUUAAGAGGAAUGCUAUUGACGUCAUUUUCUUCAAGUCCAGAAGAACCAAUAAUACAGAACCAGUUUGGAAAUCUUGCAGCUGAGAGAGCACUUCUGAUGAACACAGCAAAGACGUACAGGGCCUUCAGAGCACAGAGAAGCAAUUGCUGUGUGGUGUGAUUGAAAUGAAGGAUUGAAAGGAGAUGUAGACAGUGGAUGUAAUAUGUCAGACUUCUGAAUAUAGUGAUCACAGCAAGAUCAAGUGCUGAAGAUCACCCUGUUUGACUGUGACCAAGAUCUUUCCCCACCAAAUGUUUGUUUGAGACACACCUGCACUUAGUAAUUUAUCUUCAGGAGAUUUAAAUAUGUAUCACCCAUUUUCAUCAGUUUACUUGGGACAAAUAAUACAGUGGUUUGCAUAGCAAAGCUUGAUGGCAGAAGUUGGUUCAAUCUGGCUGGAGAAAUGUUUAACAAGAGUCCCGGGCUGGUGACUGAGUUUUCACAAAUUCAAGCUGGGAAAAAUGUGACAAUUUUCAUUAGGAAAGACUCGAGUGAUGGGUCUAUAGAAAUUGAAGAAAUCGGGCUCAUGCUGUGCACCUGGUUAGAGUGCUGCUCUUCUCUUUGGACAGGUGAGUACUAGUGAUAUAUGUCCUUAGGCAGUCACUGUGGGCUCGUGAUGUGGCCUGAUUUUCUUCUUCCAAAAUAAACACCUAACUCUGUUGCAGACUGCAGA